GGGAGACCAACAUAUUAAAAACUCAGUCCAUUCGGUUCAGCCGUUCGGGAGAUAUAGGACUUAGAAGUUUUGACCGACUGCACGGGCAAAGUAGCCGAAAACAGUUCCAUGAAUUCUGGCCCUGCAGUCGGUCUUAGAUCGCAUGAAAAACCUCCCGAAUGGCCGGCCAUCCAGCUACCAUCCUUGGUUCGCUUGAUUCCCCAUCUGUUGGUAAGUCUUUCUACC